GACGAACGCUGGCGGCGUGCCUAAUACAUGCAAGUAGGACGCAGUUGCGAACGGGUUAGUAACGCGUAGGUAACUACCUAUUAGAGGGGGAUAACUAUUGGAAACGAUAGCUAAUACCGCAUACUAGUAGAUGGACCUGCGUUGUAUUGGCUAGUAGGUAGGGUAAUGGCCUACCUAGGCAAAGAUACAUAGGCGGGUAGGGAGGGGGAUAGGCCAAACUGGGACUGGGAAAAGGCCCAGAAUCCUAAGGGGGGCAGCAGGAGGGAAAUAUCGGCAAUGGGGGGAACCCUGAACGAGGAACGCCACGUGAGUGAAGAAGGUUUUUGGAUCGUAAAGGUCUGUUGUUAAGGAAGCGGUACUUAACGAGAAAGGGACGGCUAACUACGUGCCAGCCGCCGCGGUAAUAC
rnacentral:rRNA from 1 species